GCGGGUCCAGGUCGAUGGCAGAACGGCAGCUUCCCCUUGGGAAGCUGAUACGAGGGUUCAAUUCCCUUCACCCGCUCCA
rnacentral:tRNA from 1 species